GCCAGCGUAGCUCAGUUGGUAGAGCAGCUGAUUUGUAAUCAGCGGGUCGGGGGUUCAAAUCCUCUCGCUGGCU
rnacentral:tRNA from 1 species